UGUUUAUCCUAGUUUCCUAUAGUCCCUGGAGGCUGUGGGUGAUGCCAUGCCUGCCCUAGGGCUGAGCCAGUUGGCCUAGUGCCUGGGGGCCAAGGGCA
ensembl:snoRNA